GAUCAGUAGGGUUUCUGAGAGGAAGGUCCCCCACAUUGGAACUGAGACACGGUCCAAACUCCUACGGGAGGCAGCAGUGAGGAAUAUUGGUCAAUGGGCGAGAGCCUGAACCAGCCAAGUAGCGUGCGGGAUGACGGCCCUAUGGGUUGUAAACCGCUUUUGAUUGGGAACAAAGAGCGCCACGUGUGGUGCGUUGCGUGUACCUUUCGAAUAAGCAUCGGCUAAUUCCGUGCCAGCAGCCGCGGUAAUACGGAAGAUGCGAGCGUUAUCCGGAUUUAUUGGGUUUAAAGGGAGCGUAGGCGGGCUGUUAAGUCAGCGGUCAAAUGUCAGGGCCCAACCUUGGCAUGCCGUUGAUACUGGCGGCCUUGAGUUCACACAAGGAAGGUGGAAUUCGUCGUGUAGCGGUGAAAUGCUUAGAUAUGACGAAGAACUCCGAUUGCGAAGGCAGCCUUCUGGGGUGUUACUGACGCUGAGGCUCGAAAGUGCGGGAAUCAAACAGGAUUAGAUACCCUGGUAGUCCGCACCGUAAACGAUGAGCGCCCGUCAUUGGCGACACACAGUCAGUGACCAAGGGAAACCGUUAAGCGCUCCACCUGGGGAGUAC
rnacentral:rRNA from 1 species